UACGAAGGGGGCUAGCUUUGCUCGGAAUUACUGGGCGUAAAGGGCGCGUAGGCGGACAGUUAAGUUGGGGGUGAAAGCCCGGGGCUCAACCUCGGAAUUGCCUUCAAUACUGGCUGUCUUGAGUAUGAGAGAGGUGUGUGGAACUCCGAGUGUAGAGGUGAAAUUCGUAGAUAUUCGGAAGAACACCAGUGGCGAAGGCGACACACUGGCUCAUUACUGACGCUGAGGCGCGAAAGCGUGGGGAGCAAACAGG
rnacentral:rRNA from 1 species